rnacentral:tRNA from 1 species
GCAGGUGUAGCUCAGUGGUAGGUGCACACCUAGCACGCGUGAGGUCCUGGGUGCAAUCCCCAGUGCCUCCA